CGGCUAAUAAAUUAGUUUGACGAUAUUUUCUUUUUUCCAGAUCACUCGCGAUCCCUCUUCAUCUUCCUCUUCUCCAAAUAUGAGUUUCUUUUUCUUUUGGUUUCAAAUCUGUUUUUUUUUUUGUUUUCUUUUAUAACCUAGGCGGCGGUGGCAGCACCGGCGAGUCUUCGUCAGCGAGCGAUUCCGGUUGAUAAUCAAGGACUGGUUUCGGAUCCUGGAUCGGAAUCUGGAGAGCCGGAGCUUGGAUCCUCUGAUCCGCAAGCCAUGGAUGCGGAGAAACAUGUUUUAACUGAUGUGCCUGUGAUGGAGAUCUCUCUUGAAGCCGCUAUGUGGGUUUAGGCGAAGUGGUGACGGAUGGUGAGAAGUCGAAGGCAGGGAAGAAGCAAGCUAAGGCUCCAUCGGCAAAGCUACUUUCUCAGUAUUCUCAGCCCAUUCCUCCAUUCCUCCCACUCUUUCUCAUCAAUUCCGGCUCCCAAACGGAACGGUGCCGUUGCUCUAAUACGUCUGAGGUCCGUCUACUGAGGUCUUGGGAGGGAAGCUCGGAAUAUCAAGAAAGGUGGAGAGCUGAUGAGUAUUGACAUGCUUCUCUCGAUGAACAGUCUAUGCUUGUCCAGGGACCAUCAGUUCAACCCGCGUUGAUACUUUCCGGAAUCGUCUGAGGGAGGGCUCCGUGUACUCGCUGAGUGGUUUUGAAGUAACCCUAAAUUCCGACUCUCUGACUGCAUACCAACAAAGAACUACCAGAUUUGAUUCAUCCAAAGAGUUUGAAGCGAGUUGUGUUCUUAAAGGCGAUCUCUAUUUGUAAGGUUUAGGUUGUGUUGUCGAAUAGAAUUAAUUAUGCUAUGGCAAUCCACAGAAUAUCAAGCCCUAUAUUAUGUUGCGAUUUUAUUUAAUUAUUUAAACAGCGUUACAAAGGUAUGUUUCAGAAUCUUGAAUGGAUCAUUUCUCAAGUUAUGUUGUUGUUGCAGUCACUGAAUUUCUUUGCUUACCAGAGAAAGCGCUACUGAAGAUGUGAAGGAGUUUGGUAGAUCUUCGAGACUCUACUUUUGAGUUAUGCUGAUGCAAGUGGGAGCUGUAAUAAAAGUAUGUUCUUUAGCUGAAUCACAUUAUUUUCAUUUAUUGUGGUAUUAUAGCUCAGGUGAGAACCUAAAUAAGAUCUCUAAAGAUGAAAAUGUCUUCUCCAGGCUCCUUUAUAUGGAGGUCGUUGAAGGUCAGGUCUCAUUUGCCUAAUUUUUCUCCUCCAUUUUUUUUCUUCUAGAGAAGAUAUGAUCUCUAACGAUGAACUGAAACCAGGAGAUCACAUCUAUUCCUGGCGCAAGGCUUAUAUCUGUUCCCAUCACGGUACCAAUCUCCUUCUGUUCAUGGUGAGGAGGCUGUAACGGCUUUAGGAAGCAGAGUUGACCGGUUAGAGAAAUAGAUCAAAGAGCUUGUCCCUGGAAUCCGACACGUUGACAUCGAAGCACACAAUCCCAUAGACCAAUCUCUAUGAUCUGAAACUUUCCUCCAAAGGUCUGAGUUAUCGAUGCAUUCUCUUGGCCUCAAGAAAUGGAACCCACAAGCCUGGCACUUUUGGAGAAAUAGAAAAGUGAACUGUGUCAGGUUUCUGAUUGGGAAAUAUAUGCUUAUGAACUGUGUCAGGUUUCUGAUUGAGCUUUGUUUAGUGAAACCAAAUCAAAGUGUAAGUAUAUCUACUUAACAACCGUUUACCUGUUCAUUAAAGUAGAUACAAGUUGCUUAAAGAAAAUCAAGUUGAUUUAUA